rnacentral:tRNA from 2 species
AGUAUUCUAAACUAAACUACUC